UGGGGGAUCGUCUAAUGGUAGGACCCUGGAUUCUGAUUCCAGUUGUCUAGGUUCGAAUCCUAGUC
rnacentral:tRNA from 1 species